UACGGAGGGUGCAAGCGUUACUCGGAAUCACUGGGCGUAAAGGACGCGUAGGCGGGAUAGUAAGUCUGAUGUGAAAUCCUAUGGCUUAACCAUAGAACUGCAUUGGAAACUACUGACCUAGAGUAUGGGAGGGGGAGAUGGAAUUAGUGGUGUAGGGGUAAAAUCCGUAGAUAUCACUAGGAAUACCUAAAGCGAAGGCGAUCUCCUGGAACAAUACUGACGCUAAGGCGUGAAAGCGUGGGGAGCAAACGGGAUUAGAUACCCCGGUAGUCCACGCCCUAAACGAUGAACACUAGUCGUCGGGAUGCUUGUCAUCUCGGUGAUGCACUUAACAGAUUAAGUGUUCCGCCUGGGGAGUACGGUCGCAAGAUUAAAACUCAAAGGAAUAGACGGGGACCCGCACAAGUGGUGGAGCAUGUGGUUUAAUUCGAAGAUACGCGAAGAACCUUACCUAGCCUUGACAUUGAUUGAAUUUUCCAGAGAUGGAGGAGUGCCCUUCGGGGAGCAUGAAAACAGGUGCUGCACGGCUGUCGUCAGCUCGUGUCGUGAGAUGUUGGGUUAAGUCCCGCAACGAGCGCAACCCUCGUCCUUAGUUGCCAGCAGGUUAAGCUGGGCACUCUAAGGAGACUGCCUUCGCAAGGAGGAGGAAGGUGAGGACGACGUCAAGUCAUCAUGGCCCUUACGGCUAGGGCUACACACGUGCUACAAUGGGGCGUACAGAGUGUUGCGAUACCGCGAGGUGGAGCCAAUCACUUAAAGCGUCUCUCAGUUCGGAUUGGAGUCUGCAACUCGACUCCAUGAAGCUGGAAUCACUAGUAAUCGUAGAUCAGCAAUGCUACGGUGAAUACGUUCCCGGGUC
rnacentral:rRNA from 1 species